rnacentral:lncRNA from 1 species
GGCAGUCCAGCCGCAGGGGCCACCCGAACAGUCUCUCCUCCUCACAGAAGCCUGGAGCUGGGCAUCCAAGAAGAAGCAGCCUCAUUUGUUUUCUGGUGUCAUCGUAGGUGGCCACCUAUGGCUUUUGGGAAUGUAAAAAGGGCAGCUCUCUGGCAUGUUCCUGACUGAGGAUCUCAUAACAUUUAACUUGAGGAACUUCCUCCUUUUCCAGCUUUGGGAGUCAAGCUUCUCACCUGGGGCGGGUGGGUUCUGCACCACCCUCCCACCCUCCUUCCUCCGUGUGGACGAUAGAGCCACAUCCAGCACCACGGACAGCUCCCGGGCGCCUUCAUCUCCUCGUCCUCCAGGCAGCACAAGCCAUUGUGGAAUCUCCACCAGGUGUACAGAACGGUGCCUCUGCGUCCUGCCACUCAGGACCUCUCAAGUCCCCGAUGUGAUGGCUCCUCAGCAUGAUCAGGAACCAAAAAGAAGAAUGUACUUCAUCUGGUUGGGCUGGAUUCCCUCUGAUAAGCCUUCCCAGUUGACUGAAAGAUGAGGCUAGGCUCUAGCAAGUUGAAGUCAAACCAGCUCCUUCAAGAAGCUUUGAGCAGAAUGAAGUGGGGAGGACCCAGCUUCCAGCCCAGGAAGCCCACUGUACCUGGAGCCAUCUGGGAUAAGACUUUGACCCAUGACUCCCAUAUCCACAGCCUGUCCAUCCUAGCCCAUCCCAGUUUAUCCUGUAUCAUUUGAGCUGGGAUUCCCACAUCCUCUGAGUUGGAAGUCCCAUCUCAAGUCUUCAAUAAAGACUCUUGAAUAUUGAAUCACAUUAA